GAGAGAGAAAAAGAGUCGUUUAUUAGGGCAUUGCGUCCCAUAGCAACUGCUGGGCGGCGGACUCGUCGGCGAAACCUCCCCGGCGAACCGACCUAAACCCUAACCUUCCAAUGCCAGCGGCGAUGGCCGGCGGUUCAGGCGGCAUGGCCAGCGGCCCUCGAUCCCUCGAUUGCCGCAGCUUCUGGAAGGCCGGCGCGUUCGAGGCCCCCUCCGCCGCCGCCCGCGGGUUCCACGACAUGCUGGAGACAGGGGACUUCGACCGCGCGCGGGUGCACCCCAAGUUCCUCCACACCAACGCGACCUCCCACAAGUGGGCGUUCGGAGCUAUAGCUGAACUUCUUGACAACGCAGUUGAUGAGAUUUGCAACGGAGCCACAUUUGUAAAAGUGGAUAAAAGCAUCAAUUUAAAAGACAGUAGCCCAAUGCUGGUUUUCCAAGACGAUGGAGGAGGAAUGGAUCCUGAAGGUGUACGGCAAUGUAUGAGUUUAGGAUUCUCAACCAAGAAAUCAAAGACAACCAUUGGCCAGUAUGGAAAUGGCUUUAAGACGAGCACAAUGAGACUUGGUGCUGAUGCAAUUGUUUUUACUCGUGCAAUCCGUGGGAGUAAUGUUACCUUGAGUGUUGGCUUGCUCUCAUACACUUUCUUGAGGAGAACAAUGAAGGAUGACAUAGUUGUCCCUGUGCUCGAUUUUCAAAUCCAAGAUGACCACAUUGUACCUUUGGUGUAUGGUUCACAAGGUGAUUGGGACAGUAGCUUGAAGAUAAUACUUGAUUGGUCCCCCUUUUCUUCAAUGGAAGAACUGCUACAGCAGUUCAAGGAUAUUGAGAGCCAUGGAACUAAGGUGGUGAUAUAUGAUCUAUGGAUGAAUGAUGAUGGCCUUUUAGAACUUGACUUCGAUGAUGAUGAUGAGGACAUAUUACUUAGAGAUCAAGCUAAAGCUACUGCGGGGACGACAAAGAUCCAAAAAGAAAUUAUUGAGCAACAUAUAUCCCACAGACUCAGAUUCUCUUUGCGAGCGUAUACUUCCAUCCUUUAUCUUAAGAAGUAUGCAAACUUCCAAAUUAUAUUAAGAGGAAAAGUGGUUGAACAUAUAAACAUUGCUCAUGAUCUAAAGUUCAAGAAAAUGUUUACUUACAAGCCUCAAGUCACGCUUGAUUCUCAAGUGGUCUCAGUGAAGGUAGAUGUCGGAUUUGCCAAGGAGGCGCCAGUUUUGGGCAUUUUUGGGAUGAAUGUCUACCAUAAAAAUCGACUAAUAAUGCCCUUCUGGAAGGUUCUUCAGGAAGGAUCGAGCAGAGGGAGGAGUGUUGUAGGUGUACUUGAGGCAAAUUUUAUUGAACCGGCACAUGACAAACAGGAUUUCGAGAGGACUCCACUAUUCAUUCGUUUGGAAACAAAACUUAGACAAAUUAUCAUUGAGUACUGGAAAAACAACUGUCAUUUGAUAGGUUACCAGCCAAUGAAUCCACAAUUAAAAACACAGUAUAAGGCUGCCAAAGGUUCAGGUGGUCCUGGACAUGAGUUUCAGCAGAAAUCAUCGACUGCUCAGAGGAUUGGAGUGCAUUCAUCAUCGACUGCUCAGAGGAUUGGAGCGCAUUCAUCAAAUUUGCUACCGGAAACAUAUGAUGAUGCAGCAGUCUUUGGACUGAGAACUAAUGGUGCAGGUUCUGGUUUGCAAUUUUCUGGCCAAGCACAAGAAAACGGUACGAAUUCAGCAGGCUUGGAAGAGGAUCUAGUCAAUAUUGCCUCUGAUGGUGAACUUGAUCCUAAUUUCCUUGAGAAGCUGAGUGAUGAAAACAUUUCUCUGUUCACAAGGCGCGAGGAGCUUAAACAACGAGAUACACAAUUGAAGCAGACGAUUUUGGAGUUGGAGCAUGAACUAGAGGAAACAAAAAGGAAAUGCUCUCAGCUUUCUACUGAGCUGCAGGUGCGGAAGAGCCAGCAGCAGCUCCCGUACAUGUGAAGAGUUAAUACUUUAAUCACCUGUCGUGAUCCGUCUUGGUUGAGCCUUGAGAGUCCAGCUCUGCGUUGUAGUUUCCAACCCGGCGCUACUCCCUACAUGUUAUUUCAUUAAGGAUGCAGAGCAGCGACCAAGGCUAAUGAAGAAACCACGGUGUGAAGUGCUGACGUUGUUCAUAUUCUUGCUAGUACCAAACUGGGUCCACGCUUAGGAACAUUAGGAAGGAAACUAACUGCGCGUACCAACAGCAUAUGGUUAUCAGAUGUGUAUAUGUCACGAUGUCUGGUUGCAACUGCUGUUUCGUGCUCGGGAUCAAAGACAAUUGAAUAAUCGAAUACUACUUGGUAGUCAUAUUAUCAGUAAUUUCCUUUGGCUA